AAACCAACUGGGAUUACCUUAGUAACGGCGAGUGAAGCGGUAAAAGCUCAAAUUUGAAAUCUGGUACUUUCAGUGCCCGAGUUGUAAUUUGUAGAAUUUGUCUUUGAUUAGGUCCUUGUCUAUGUUCCUUGGAACAGGACGUCAUAGAGGGUGAGAAUCCCGUUUGGCGAGGAUACCUUUUCUCUGUAAGACUUUUUCGAAGAGUCGAGUUGUUUGGGAAUGCAGCUCAAAGUGGGUGGUAAAUUCCAUCUAAAGCUAAAUAUUGGCGAGAGACCGAUAGCGAACAAGUACAGUGAUGGAAAGAUGAAAAGAACUUUGAAAAGAGAGUGAAAAAGUACGUGAAAUUGUUGAAAGGGAAGGGCAUUUGAUCAGACAUGGUGUUUUUUGCAUGCACUCGCCUCUCGUGGGCUUGGGCCUCUCAAAAAUUUCACUGGGCCAACAUCAAUUCUGGCAGCAGGAUAAAUCAUUAAGAAUGUAGCUACUUCGGUAGUGUUAUAGCUUUUUGGAAUACUGUUAGCCGGGAUUGAGGACUGCG
rnacentral:rRNA from 1 species